GCUGUGCCUUUUGCAACAGGACAUGUCUAUCUCCAUUGACCUUUUUAGCCACCAGUGCACUUGCAGCAAAUGUAUGACAGGAAGAAUGGAAAUGGAGCCAUUUUGAAAGGAAAUUAGUCCAGCUUAUGCCCUGGAAGGAACCAGGCAGAGAGAGGAAAAGUAUCUUUGUGAUCAAGCAGAGUGUGACCUGAGGAGAGUCAGACUUGGAUUCAUGUACUGGCAGGACAAGAGAGUGGAGCAGAGAUGACAGAUCUUUAAGGAAAUAUUCCACAGAGCACAAGUGCCUGUGAUCCCCAGGAGCAAGAAAUUGG